ensembl:lncRNA PCAT1 prostate cancer associated transcript 1
CGGGGUGUGUUUGUGUUUGUGCCUGCAAGUCAAGGCCAUGCCCAGACUUAGCACUCUCAGCUGCUCUGUAAUGCAAGUCGACAGGAAAAUCUACAAGGGCUUCACGGUCUUCUUUCUAGAAAAAUCCCAACAAGGGUUUGAUAGUAAAAAGUACUUCGUAGUCAUUUUCAAAUAGGGGAGAAUUUCCUGAAGUAUGCAGCAUCUGCUCUGCCGGGUUUGCAAUCUGUGCACAGGUAUUGCAGUUAAUGAGCCACCGGCUUGCCGCUUCCAGGGCCAGGCUGGAGCAGUCAGCUGGUGGAAUGAUGGGAACUGCAAUCGGCAGCUCUGCACCAACGUGCCCCGGGUUGGAAAAUGUGAUUUGUGACAGAGAAGCUUGGGAAUAAUAAUGAAAACAUAAUUGCUCCAGGUUGGUUGCUCUCUUUCAAUUGCAAAGCCGUCUCACCUCUUGUGAGAGGAACUGUAGUUCUAAGCGUUCAUUUCUCUAGAACAACUAGAGGCACACCCAGCAACUGUCCUUCUGCCCCCAGUGAAACUUGGAUUUUUUUUUUUUUGAACUCCAGAGAAGAGCUGUCCCCCAAAUUCAAGAAGAAUCGUACUUACUUCAUCUCCAGGAUGCCUGGGGCAGCUUGUCUGUUCAAGCAGAAUCUCCCAAGUCAUGAAUGUGGCUUUGAAACCUAUUAGUCCCAUCCUCUGAUGCCUGGGACCAGGCUAUUAUAUUGUCGGGUUGGUUUAUUGUUGUUGUUGUUGUUUGUUUUUGCCUCAUGAAAAUAAAAAAAAUUAAACCCCUGCGUAUGAAUGAAUUUUCAUCGAUUUUUCAUUUGGUCAUCCUACAGAAGAGGCAGAGGAUGUUGACACAAACUUACAGACUGGGACUCCAAGGAUCAGCCAGAUGAAAUGCUAUGUGCAGAGUCUUCAUUUCCCAGCUCAGUGGUGGACAGCAGAGGACUCUAAGGUGGGUUGCCCUGAUUGGAGUCCCCCUUCAGCCACUUUAAGUUAACGGAUGUCUCUGAGCUCCAAGUUUCUCAUCUGUAAAAUGAAGAGAAAGAUGUCAAUUGCUUGGGUUUUGAGAAAGACUGAAAGAGAUCAUAGAUGUAAAAUACUUAGCGUGGGGCCCGGAACCUCUCCUGUGGCUGGGAGUGAGUGGGCAUGUUGCACAUUGAGAACCUCUUUACACAAUUGCCCAUCCUCCUAGCCCUGCAGUCUGUGCAGACAUUUCCAUGCCAAUCUCCACGGUAUUUGUGCAAGUAAUUCUUUCUGCCAUGGGGCUUCUCUGGCUGACUUCAGAAUGUUGCUCAGCUUUAAAGGAUGGACUGAGAGGUUAAUGCUGGCGGAGGCACCCUAACCAAAGGGGGACUGGAUCUGUUGGAUAAAUGCAUCCGCUCUUCAUUUCCCCAAGGGUGAUGGUUCCGAGACAUGUCUCAAAAGAGGGGGACACUGAGCCACAGUUACUCCCAGGAAUGGCCCAACACACAGCAUAUUUCUACAUUCAUGUUUCUUUUUCCUGUUACUCAGCGGUGCUUCACUCUUGUUCCUUAGAAUCACCUCAUAAAUGAACUACCUUGA